GAAACGUCGUCGUUUCAUCAAAAGCAUUCAUAAUGGGCUUAUUUUAGCUUCGCUGGGCUUACAUGUGGCUACCUGCAACUGCAAUCUACAACAUGCGACUUUAAUCACAAUCCCAGCCUAUAAUUAGUUUUGUUCUUGUGCAACUGGUCAUAGUGAUUAAUCACAAAUUGUCAAUUUGUAUUGCUGAAAGUUAGUAAAUCAAUGUUACAGUUUC